rnacentral:misc_RNA from 1 species
CACCACUCAAGCCUCGCUUGGUAUUGGGCGACGCGGUCCGCCGCGCGCCUCAAAUCGACCGGCUGGGUCUUCUGUCCCCUCAGCGUUGUGGAAACUAUUCGCUAAAGGGCGCCACGGGAGGCCACGCCGAAAAACAAACCCAUUUCUAA